UGCCACGGAUGCGUGCACGCGUGCGGGACGCCCACAGCUGUUGUCUGCUUUGGCUGCCAAGGUCGGCAUUGAAACCCGCAUCACGCUGCGUAGCCUACCGUGUUUUUUCCGACGUCGGCUGUCGCGCCGUUCAGUCGCUGCGUGUGUGAUUGUGCGGGAACGGUGCGCGGACGCGCCCUGGCGCGAAGAGAAACCCGUCGCACGCAACGCGACCGGCCCACGGUGUGGCCGAUGGUGUGGCGAACGAAAAGCACCGGCCUGAGGUAACGGUCCUUAUACAGGCCUUCGCUCGGCGAAUUCGCGCGCGCGCUAAAAGUGCGACGAGCGUACUUCGUCUUGUGCGUACCCGUCGUGGGUUCCGUGUCUAUGGGGCUGUCGCGUGCACUGGUGGUGGUCUGCGUCGUCGCGCUGAUCAUCGUGUCCUGCCUGGUCGGCCUCUACGUGGCGAGCAUCCUUCGACGCCGCGGAAUCUGGCCGCGAAGGAACGGUAACGUGCCGGGCGCGAACACUGGCUACCCCGGCGUCUCCGAUCCAGGCUGGCCGCAAGCAGCGCAGUAUGCAACGGGAACCCCUGUAGUCUACUCCUCUUCCGCGGCCGUGCCAAUGGCUACCCCGUGGCAGUAUCCGGCGCCAAACGCGUACGGAGCGCAGCAAGGUUACUCUGGACAACCGUGUACACCUCAACACCAUGGCUACCCGACACCGCAGUACGCGCCCGGCACUGUGUCUAAGAACGUUGCGCCGUUGUACCCCGUUUAGUGCGUCCCUAUAGGAUAAAAUGCCCACAUACCAUAUCCCACCAUAUGGGCGGUAACCACAUGACGGUGUCAAUCACGCGCCUUCGCUCGUCAUCACGCGUCAUCACGCGUCUAACCGCGUAGCCAUUUUGCAGGCGACACCUGCAUGAUGGACAUGGGUGAUAGUGGCUUCCGUGCAUAGAGCGGGUAACACUUUGGCGCACAGCCUAGCGCGGUGCCUACUUCUAGCGAACCCCUUCUUUGACGAUGCCGCCGAGCCGACGACUACUAAUAAACACGCGAAUUUUUUUCCUUGUGAAUAUUUGCUUCUGCAAAGCUAAUAAAAUCGCGAAUGAAUACCAGAGGCACUAUUUGGGAAGCCAUGACAGACGAAGGCUAUAGGCAAGCGUAAACGCGAGCCAGAAAACGUAAGCGUAAAUACACUGCAAGUAAAUCUUUCGUUCAAUGUGACUAACAGCAAAAAUAUUGAUAUAAAAUAACUGUUCUUAGAAGUGACCAUCUUCCUGAUAAUUCAGGAAUACCCGCAGCAAUAGGUGGCGUUGAAAUCCGCGCAUCAGCUACGGCUACCCCUGAGCAACAAGAACCGAUCUCAAAGCCUUGCUGCAAGCGAGAAAAGCGACUGCAGGAGCCGAAAACGCGUCAUGGUCGCAAUGUUUCGAACAACAUCUAUGCAGUUUUUAAUUUCAUUAAGUUCCCGAAUAUAGACAUUAUCUUCUCAUAAUGCUGAUGGGUGCCGCUGUAAAAUUCCUUUCGGGAAAGAAACGUCGCUUCUGGCGCUUGACGAUGGCUCCCUUCGAUGGUUACGAUAAUGAAGACGAAGAUGAGGAUCUAUUGCCAUCUCUUUCGAAAUGGGGCCGUGAAAGAAUAGUCACUUAGCCUGCUUGAGCUAAUCAGGUAAUCUAUUCAUGCUUAUCAGUCUAGGGUUUUACUUAUCUCUCCUUCGUCUUUUCUCUCUUCAUUAAAUCAUAUUCAUGUAACGACGCCGCCUCCAUCAAGCUCUUCCCUGCUUUCUUUCCAUCAACAUACUCUAAGUGUAUCUUGCUUAUAUCGACUAAUUGACCGGUUCAUGCUUCCAUCUCGCUUUCGAUCCCAGCGAUUCUGGAAAGCGGACGUUCCCAUCGGUUCUAACUGAAUAAAUAUAUUGGCACUCCUUUAAAGUGUCCUGAACCUUCUCAGGAGUUUUGCUACAGCGGACACAUGCCUUAUCUAUUUCCGAAUAUUUGUUCCGGUAUGUAUUUGUCCUUAGGCAACCAGCUCCAGCCUCAAAUAUAGCAAUGCACUGCCCUUUGUGUUAUCGCACAUAUUUUUUUCUUCUAAUUUCUUUCUUCCCACUCUUGUAAAUCUCAAUACUAUUUCUUGUUUCCCUUCGUUGCAUCCGAAUCGCUAUUUCUGUUCCUCUCACUUUCUUUCUUAUGACUCUUGGUUGUCUAUAUGCACUUUCCAUCACCCUGCACUUGGUUGCCAACUUUCUUGACUUCUUCCUCCAUUCUGUGUGCACGCUUUUCAGGUACAGAUGCUUGUGUACUUUAGCCGCCCGUUUCUUUUGAUCCAUUGUUCUGAGUAUUUCUUCAAAACUAAUGUUGCUUUGUGCUUCUCUGACGUCAGGAGAGGCCCAAACCAUGUCGCCCUUCACUGCCUCAUUUGUGGUUUUACCAUGGACUCUCAAGGCCAUCCGGCCUACCGACCCUUGGUUAAGUUCCAACCCUGACAAUAGAUGCGAUUUUAGGCACAGAAUGGCAUUUGCAAACGUUAGCGUUGACGCCGUUACUUCUUUCCAGAUUCCACGCAUCACAUCAUAUUUAUUGCGGCCCAAAAGCGCUCUAAGUUUCAUUAUUGCUGCAUUCCGCUUCCCUUAUAUUUUCAUAUUACCUUGGUGGGUGCUUGAGUAAGUCUUUCUUCGUUUACGUAUACGCCGAGGUAUUUAUAUUGCUUGACAAUCGGCAUGACUUGAUGUUGAAUUGACACCACGUGGUUACUCGUCUCUUCAUUGAAGAUGAUAAUUCCCGAUUUCUCUGUGCUUAACGUAAGGGCUAGAUUUGUCGCUGCGUUGCCAGACACAUUCACAAGUGUUUGUAGAUUUCUCGCAUUGUCCGCUAGUAGCACCGUGUCGUCCGCACACAUGAGUCCGGGGACCUUCUGUAGCACAACUUGUCCGUUACGCACGUAGGAUAAAUCAAACCCUAAUUCACUGUUUUCAAGUCGUCUUUCUGUGCCCCUAGCAUAAAGCGUGAAUUACAAUAGAGACAGAAGACAUCAUUGCUUCAGUCAUUGGUGAAUUUCCACCACUUCGUUGCGCGUUCGGCCUGCUUUUACUUUUCAGCCGUGACCACCGAAAGAACGUUUACGCCGCCUGUCGGCAUUUGGGAAAGAAACAACGAUUAUACAUCACGCUGUCUCCGCAAAAUGACGCCACUGUGGCGAAAUCCGUCGUGUCGGACUCGCUUUGCCAUUUGGCGGAGAAAAACAGAGCCAAGCGACAAAAAGCGUGGCCUUCGAGACUUUAUGCGUGGUGCCAUCAAUUCUCGGAGGUCGUACAAGAUGUACAUAAGAUCCUAAAGAUCUAGACAGUAGCUUGUGGCUGCUAUCAUUAAGCUGCCUAGACAAAACAAAUUAGCACAAGUGAUCAUUCUGCAAUUUACUUUCCGAUAUUGCUUUUCCUCUCAUUCUCAACUGUAACAUCGCCCUUGCUCCCAUAGUACCGCCUGUCUUGGAACGUUAUGCUUAUGCUUUUCCCGCCGUGGUGUCGUAGUGGCUAAGACGCGCGGCUAAGACUGAGGGCGCUGGAUCAAACCCCAACGGCGGCAGCCGCAUUUCGAUGGCAUCAAAACGCACAAAUGACCAUGUGCGUUGUUUGCACGUUAAAUAACACCAGGUGGUCGAACUUAUUCGGGAGCCUCCUCACUGCGGUGCGCCUCAUAAUCAUGCCGUGGUUUCGGGGACGAAAACCCCAGAAUAUAUGUACAUCUGUGAUUUCCAGUUUAGUCGUUUGCUGUUUUGUCCCAUAAGUAAAUACUGAAAACGAGGCGGAAAGCUGCUGCACCCCAUGCUGCACCCUAUGAAAAAUAAACCACAUGAUUUAUCUAUACACUUGUAUUGACUAACGGGUUUCAAAACGAAACUUUCUCACGACUCCUCCACUGAGCAGAGUGCAUCAUGAUGACGAUGAUCAUGAUGAUUAUCGCUAGUCGCACCUCCGUUAAACGGGGUGGCGACAAAUUGUCACCUAGCUUGCGUGAUUUACCCAUGCGUUACUGUGUAACCACAGAAGUUUAGUAUUUUAUGACUGUUUUAACAUGUAACACCACCUAUGCCACUUGACAUUCCCGUCCGAAGCUUUCUGCUGCUUUUAUCCACUAAUAUUCGAAUCGCGUCUAGCUAGUCUCCCACCGCCGCUUUCCAGUUACCUCCCCGGUCAGCUUUGAACUCCGGCAUUUCUUCGAAGGAGACGUCACCUGCACGCCUUCGGGCUGGUGUCGACAUUCCACGACACUGGAUCGAGUCGUGACCAGACUGUUCUUGUGCAGUAGACACGUGCCUCGGCCUGUUGCAAAUAUUUGCUCCUGUAUGUUGUUCCAAGGCAGCUGGCUCAGGCAUAAAAAGUGAACGCCCUACCUUAUGGUGUUGUCAAAUUCUUUUCCAGAUUUCUUCUUUGCCGUCCUUGUAAAGUUUCAUUGAAAAGCUUGUUUAUUUGUUU